rnacentral:rRNA from 1 species
GACGUAGGGCGCGAGCGUUGUCCGGAUUUAUUGGGCGUAAAGAGCUCGUAGGCGGCUUGUCGCGUCGAAUGUGAAAACCUGCAGCUCAACUGCAGGCUUGCAUUCGAUACGGGCAGGCUCGAGUUCGGUAGGGGAGACUGGAAUACUUGGUGUAGCAGUGAAAUGCGUAGAUAUCAAGUGGAACACCAGUGGCGAAGGCGAGUCUCUGGACAUUUCCUGACGCUGAGGCACGAAAGCUAGGGGAGCAAACAGG